rnacentral:rRNA from 1 species
ACUCAAAUGAAUUGACGGGGGCCCGCACAAGCAGUGGAUCAUGUGGUUUAAUUCGAAGCAACGCGCAGAACCUUACCUGGGUUUGACAUCCUUUGACGAUUACAGAGAUGUAAUUUUCGUAGCAAUACGACAAAGAGACAGGUGCUGCAUGGCUGUCGUCAGCUCGUGUUGUGAAAUGUUGGGUUAAGUCCCGCAACGAGCGCAACCCCCGCCUUUGGUUGCCAUCAUUAAGUUGGGCACUCCAGAGGGACUGCCGUCGUUAAGACGGAGGAAGGUGGGGAUGACGUCAAGUCCUCAUGGCCUUUAUAUCCAGGGCGACACACGUGAUACAAUGGUUGGUACAGAGGGUAGCGAAACGGCGACGUGGAGCUAAUCUCAAAAAGCCAAUCUCAGUUCGGAUUGAAGUCUGCAACUCGACUUCAUGAAGUUGGAAUUGCUAGUAAUCGCGGAUCAGAACGCCGCGGUGAAUACGUUCCCGGGCCUUGUACACACCGCCCGU